GAAUAGCUCAGUCGGUAGAGCAUGAGGCUCUUAAUCUCAGGGUCCUGGGUUCAAAACCCACCUUGGGCA